UGGGGAAUAUUGCACAAUGGGCGCAAGCCUGAUGCAGCCAUGCCGCGUGUGUGAAGAAGGCCUUCGGGUUGUAAAGCACUUUCAGCGAGGAGGAAGGUGGUGAACUUAAUACGUUCAUCAAUUGACGUUACUCGCAGAAGAAGCACCGGCUAACUCCGUGCCAGCAGCCGCGGUAAUACGGAGGGUGCAAGCGUUAAUCGGAAUUACUGGGCGUAAAGCGCACGCAGGCGGUUUGUUAAGUCAGAUGUGAAAUCCCCGGGCUCAACCUGGGAACUGCAUUGAAACUGGCAGCUAGAGUCUCGUAGAGGGGGGUAGAAUUCCAGGUGGUAGCGGUGAAAUGCGUAGAGAUCUGGAGGAAUACCGGUGGCGAAGGCGGCCCCCUGGACGAAGACUGACCGCUCAGGUGCG
rnacentral:rRNA from 1 species